GUGGCUUAGUGGUUAGAUAAUCUGCCUUAGAUGUAGGAGGUUGUGGGUUCAAACCCCGGAUGAUUCA